CGCGGCCUAUCAGCUUGUUGGUGGGGUAAUGGCCUACCAAGGCGUCGACGGGUAGCCGGCCUGAGAGGGUGUACGGCCACAUUGGGACUGAGAUACGGCCCAGACUCCUACGGGAGGCAGCAGUGGGGAAUAUUGCACAAUGGGCGCAAGCCUGAUGCAGCGACGCCGCGUGGGGGAUGACGGCCUUCGGGUUGUAAACUCCUUUCGCCAGGGACGAAGCGUUAUGUGACGGUACCUGGAUAAGAAGCACCGGCUAACUACGUGCCAGCAGCCGCGGUAAUACGUAGGGUGCGAGCGUUGUCCGGAAUUACUGGGCGUAAAGAGCUCGUAGGUGGUUUGUCGCGUCGUUUGUGGAAUACCGCAGCUUAACUGUGGGGUUGCAGGCGAUACGGGCAUAACUUGAGUGCUGUAGGGGAGAUCGGAAUUCCUGGUGUAGCGGUGGAAUGCGCAGAUAUCAGGAGGAACACCGAUGGCGAAGGCAGGUCUCUGGGCAGUAACUGACGCUGAGGAGCGAAAGCAUGGGUAGCGAACAGGAUUAGAUACCCUGGUAGUCCAUGCCGUAAACGGUGGGCGCUAGGUGUGAGUCCCUUCCACGGGGUUCGUGCCGUAGCUAACGCAUUAAGCGCCCCGCCUGGGGAGUACGG
rnacentral:rRNA from 1 species